GACCGCGUGUUCAGCCCAGAGCGAACUAUUCUUUCGCCUUUUACUAAAGAUUACCGUGUGCGGGACACAAGCGGCUUCAACCAAUUUUUGGGACGCUCCUUACUGGGGCAC
rnacentral:snRNA from 1 species